rnacentral:rRNA from 1 species
UCCUUCGGGGAUGUGAGAGUGGCGAACGGGUGAGUAACACGUAGGUGAUCUACCGCUUGGCGGGGGAUAGCCCAUGGAAACACGGGGUAAUACCGCAUACGACCGAUCUGCUGUGGCGGGUUGGGGAAAGGCGCUUAGGCGUCACCGAGCGAUGAGCCUGCGGCUGAUUAGCUAGUUGGUAGGGUAACGGCCUACCAAGGCAACGAUCAGUAGCCGGCCUGAGAGGGUGAUCGGCCACACUGGGACUGAGAUACGGCCCAGACAACUACGGUUGGCAGCAGCUAAGAAUCUUCCGCAAUGGACGAAAGUCUGACGGAGCGACGCCGCGUGGGCGAUGAAGGCCGUGAGGUUGUAAAGCCCUUUUCUAUCGGAGGAAUAAGCCUGGGAGGGAAUGCCCGGGUGAUGACGGUACGGUAGGAAUAAGCCCCGGCCAAUUACGUGCCAGCAGCCGCGGUAACACGUAAGGGGCGAGCGUUGUUCGGAAUUAUUGGGCGUAAAGGGCACGUAGGCGGCACGGUAAGCCUGGUGUGAAAGACCGCAGCUUAACUGCGGAGACGCGCUGGGAACUGCCGAGCUUGAGUGCUGGAGGGGGAGCUGGAAUUCCAGGUGUAGGGGUGAAAUCUGUAGAUAUCUGGAAGAACACCGGUGGUGAAGACGAGCUCCUGGCCAGAUACUGACGCUGAGGUGCGAAAGCGUGGGGAGCGAACAGGAUUAGAUACCCUGGUAGUACACGCCGUAAACGAUGUGCACUAGGUGUAGGGUUCAUUAGCGACUCAGUGCCGUAGCUAACGCGUUAAGUGCACCGACUGGGGAGUAUGCUCGCAAGAGUGA